GGAGAGAUGCCAGAGCGGUCGAUUGGGGCGGUCUCGAAAACCGUUGUACUUGCAAAAGUACCCAGGGUUCGAAUCCCUGUCUCUCCG
rnacentral:tRNA from 1 species